GACGAACGCUGGCGGCGUGCUUAACACAUGCAAGUCGAACGGAAAGGCCCGGCGCUUGUGGGGUGCUCGAGUGGCGAACGGGGGAGUAACACGUGAGUAACCUGCCCUUGACUGUGGGAUAACAUCAGGAAACUGGGGCUAAUACCGGAGAGGAGCUCCUGCUGCACGGGGGGGGUUGGAAAGAUUCGGCGGUGGGGGAUGGUCUCGCGGCUUAUGAGCUUGUUUGGGGAGUAGUGGCGUCCCACGGCUUUGACGGGUAGCCGGCCUGGGAGGGUGACCGGGCUCCUUGCGCCUACGGUAGGCAGCAGUCUCCUACCUGCCGCAAUAGUCGAGAGCCUUACGCAGCGAGCCCACGUCUGUUACGACGGUCUCGCGUGCGGGAUGCCCUCCUUCGGGUUGUAAACAGAUUUCGCCUGUGCCGAGGCCUGCGUGACGGUACUUAGUCAGGAAGCCCCGGCUAACUACGUG
rnacentral:rRNA from 1 species